GAUGCGGUGGCCUAAUGGUUAGCGUGCUGGACUCCGGAUCAAGCAGUCCAGGUUCGAGCACUGGCCGGAGUCA